CCUACGGGGCGCAGCAGUGGGGAAUAUUGCACAAUGGGGGAAACCCUGAUGCAGCAACGCCGCGUGAGUGAAGAAGUCAUUCGUGAUGUAAAGCUCUAUCAGCAGGGAAGAAAAUGACGGUACCUGAGUAAGAAGCCCUGGCUAACUACGUGCCAGCAGCCGCGGUAAUACGUAGGUGGCAAGCGUUGUCCGGAUUUACUGGGUGUAAAGGGCGUGCAGCCGGAGAGACAAGUCAGAUGUGAAAUCCACGGGCUCAACCCGUGAACUGCAUUUGAAACUGUUUCCCUUGAGUGUCGGAGAGGUAA
rnacentral:rRNA from 1 species